UUAUUGUCUUGAGGUGGAAUGGUGAGAAGUAUUAUGGUGACGUGGAACUAAGUUCUGGUAGAAAGACAUCGAAUUUCAAAUUAGAAGAUCAAACGAAUGAUGUUGUUUCGGAUAAUCAAUUCAAAGGCUUAUGGAGCUAUAUGAUUAGGACGAGAAGGAAUACAAGAGUACGAAAACGAUGAAUGUGAAGAGAAAUACGAAAAUGUAUGUAUUGGCUGCUAAUUG